rnacentral:misc_RNA from 1 species
GAUGAAGAACGUGGCGAAAUGCGAUACGUAAUGUGAAUUGCAGAAUUCAGUGAAUCAUCGAAUCUUUGAACGCAUAUUGCGCUCUCUGGUAUUCCGGAGAGCAUGCUUGUUUGAGUAUCAGUAAACACCUCAACUCCCUUUUCUUUUUUGAAAUUGGAGCUGGACUUGAGUGAUCCCAACGCUUUCUUCCAAGAAAGUGGCGGGUUGCUUGAAAUGCAGGUGCAGCUGAACUUUUCUCUGAGCUAUAAGCAUAUCUAUUUAGUCUGCCUAAAAAACAGAUUAUUACCUUUGCUGCAGCUAACAUAAAGGAGACUAGUUCUUGUGCUGACUGAUGCAGGAUUCACAGAGACAGCUUCGGCUGACUUUGUAAACUCGAUCUCAAAUCAAGUAAGACUACCCGCUGAACUUAAGCAUAUCAAUAAGCGGAGGA